rnacentral:rRNA from 1 species
UACAGAGGUCUCAAGCGUUGUUCGGAUUCAUUGGGCGUAAAGGGUGUGUAGGUGGCGCCGUAAGUCGGGUGUGAAAUUUCGGAGCUUAACUCCGAAACUGCAUUCGAUACUGCCGUGCUUGAGGACUGGAGAGGAGACUGGAAUUUACGGUGUAGCAGUGAAAUGCGUAGAUAUCGUAAGGAAGACCAGUGGCGAAGGCGGGUCUCUGGACAGUUCCUGACACUGAGGCACGAAGGCCAGGGGAGCAAACGGG